rnacentral:rRNA from 1 species
UACGUAGGGUGCGAGCGUUUAAUCGGAAUUACUGGGCGUAAAGCGUGCGCAGGCGGUUUUGUAAGCCAGAUGUGAAAUCCCCGGGCUUAACCUGGGAAUGGCAUUUGGGACUGCAAGGCUUGAGUGCGGCAGAGGAGACUGGAAUUCCUGGUGUAGCAGUGAAAAUGCGUAGAUAUCAGGAGGAACACCGAUGGCGAAGGCAGGUCUCUGGGCUGACACUGACGCUCAGGCACGAAAGCGUGGGGAGCAACAGG